UACGUAGGUGGCAAGCGUUAUCCGGAAUUAUUGGGCGUAAAGCGCGCGCAGGCGGUUUCUUAAGUCUGAUGUGAAAGCCCACGGCUCAACCGUGGAGGGUCAUUGGAAACUGGGGAACUUGAGUGCAGAAGAGAAAAGCGGAAUUCCACGUGUAGCGGUGAAAUGCGUAGAGAUGUGGAGGAACACCAGUGGCGAAGGCGGCUUUUUGGACCGGCAUUGACGCUGAGGCGCGAAAGCUAGGGGAGCAAACGGG
rnacentral:rRNA from 1 species